rnacentral:misc_RNA from 1 species
AACCAUUCUCACCUGCGGCUAGACCUGCGGAAGGAUCAUUACUGAGUCACGUGCUCAAACAACCCUUCUGUGGACCUGAAAUAAAACCGUUGCCUCGGCGGGCGGUCCCCCCCAAACCAACCCCACGUGGUGGGUUAGGGGAGACCAGACAGUCCGGUACGCUUAAGGCGUCCGGCGCCAGCCGCUGGCCCCAAACAAUUAAACUCUAGUAAUCUUUACCUUCUGAGUUUCAAUAUUUAA